rnacentral:rRNA from 1 species
AGACCGAUAGCGAACAAGUAGAGUGAUCGAAAGAUGAAAAGCACUUUGAAAAGAGAGUUAAAAAGCACGUGAAAUUGUUGAAAGGGAAGCGCUUGCGACCAGACUCGCCCGCGGGGUUCAGCCGGCAUUCGUGCCGGUGUACUUCCCCGCGGGCGGGCCAGCGUCGGUUUGGGCGGCCGGUCAAAGGCCCCCGGAAUGUAGUGCCCCUACGGGGGCACCUUAUAGCCGGGGGUGCAAUGCGGCCAGCCUGGACCGAGGAACGCGCUUCGGCACGGACGCUGGCAUAAUGGUUGCAAACGACCCGUCUUGAAACACGGACCAAG